UACGGAGGGGGCUAGCGUUGUUCGGAAUUACUGGGCGUAAAGCGCGCGUAGGCGGCUUUGUAAGUCAGAGGUGAAAGCCUGGAGCUCAACUCCAGAACUGCCUUUGAAACUACAUCGCUAGAAUCAUGGAGAGGUUAGUGGGAUUCCGAGUGUAGAGGUGAAAUUCGUAGAUAUUCGGAAGAACACCAGUGGCGAAGGCGACUAACUGGACAUGUAUUGACGCUGAGGUGCGAAAGCGUGGGGAGCAAACAGG
rnacentral:rRNA from 1 species